rnacentral:misc_RNA from 1 species
CUGGGUUUCGGACCUCGUGUCCACUCACCCGCCCUUUGUCAUACGCAAUCCAUAUUAUUUCGGCCCCUGACCCUUGGGUGUGACUCCCUAUUAGUUUAGCGAGGUAUCAACCAUCUGUCGCGGGUCGGCAUUGCAAACCCAAGAAUGAAAACUGAAGUCUGAUAUAAUUUUUUAAACGAAAUUA